rnacentral:tRNA from 1 species
GUCCGGGCGGGCCACGACGGCGGCCUCGCUGACGGCGGGGUGGGUGAGGAGGGCGGCCUCCAGCUCCAUCGUGCCGAGGCGGUGCCCGGCCAC